rnacentral:rRNA from 1 species
UACGUAGGGUGCAAGCGUUGUCCGGAAUUAUUGGGCGUAAAGGGCUCGUAGGCGGCCAACUAAGUCAGACGUGAAAUCCCUCGGCUUAACCGGGGAACUGCGUCUGAUACUGGAUGGCUUGAGUUUGGGAGAGGGACGCGGAAUUCCAGGUGUAGCGGUGAAAUGCGUAGAUAUCUGGAGGAACACCGGUGGCGAAGGCGGCGUCCUGGACCAACACUGACACUGAGGAGCGAAAGCCAGGGGAGCAAACGGG